rnacentral:rRNA from 1 species
UAACCUGGGGAAACCCAGGCUAAAACCGCAUACGUCCUACGGGAGAAAGGGGGCUUCGGCUCCCGCUAUUGGAUGAGCCUAUGUCGGAUUAGCUAGUUGGUGAGGUAAAGGCUCACCAAGGCAACGAUCCGUAGCUGGUCUGAGAGGAUGAUCAGCCACAUCGGGACUGAGACACGGCCCGAACUCAUACGGGAGGCAGCAGUGGGGAAUAUUGGACAAUGGGGGCAACCCUGAUCCAGCCAUGCCGCGUAUGUGAAGAAGGCCUUCGGGUUGUAAAGCACUUUCAGCGAGGAAGAACGCCUAGUGGUUAAUACCCAUUAGGAAAGACAUCACUCGCAGAAGAAGCACCGGCUAACUCCGUGCCAGCAGCCGCGGUAAUACGGAGGGUGCAAGCGUUAAUCGGAAUUACUGGGCGUAAAGCGCGCGUAGGUGGCUUGAUAAGCCGGUUGUGAAAGCCCCGGGCUCAACCUGGGAACGGCAUCCGGAACUGUCAAGCUAGAGUGCAGGAGAGGAAGGUAGAAUUCCCGGUGUAGCGGUGAAAUGCGUAGAGAUCGGGAGGAAUACCAGUGGCGAAGGCGGCCUUCUGGACUGACACUGACACUGAGGUGCGAAAGCGUGGGUAGCAAACAGGAUUAGAUACCCUGGUAGUCCACGCCGUAAACGAUGUCGACCAGCCGUUGGGUGCCUAGCGCACUUUGUGGCGAAGUUAACGCGAUAAGUCGACCGCCUGGGGAGUACGGCCGCAAGGUUAAAACUCAAAUGAAUUGACGGGGGCCCGCACAAGCGGUGGAGCAUGUGGUUUAAUUCGAUGCAACGCGAAGAACCUUACCUACUCUUGACAUCCUGCGAACUUGUGAGAGAUCACUUGGUGCCUUCGGGAACGCAGAGACAGGUGCUGCAUGGCUGUCGUCAGCUCGUGUUGUGAAAUGUUGGGUUAAGUCCCGUAACGAGCGCAACCCUUGUCCUUAUUUGCCAGCACGUAAUGGUGGGAACUCUAAGGAGACUGCCGGUGACAAACCGGAGGAAGGUGGGGACGACGUCAAGUCAUCAUGGCCCUUACGAGUAGGGCUACACACGUGCUACAAUGGCCGGUACAAAGGGUUGCCAACUCGCGAGAGUGAGCUAAUCCCGAAAAGCCGGUCUCAGUCCGGAUCGGAGUCUGCAACUCGACUCCGUGAAGUCGGAAUCGCUAGUAAUCGUGAAU